rnacentral:lncRNA from 1 species
GAAGAAUCCAGAAUGAGGGGUGCGUCACUUGAGUGGGUUGAGUCACUGACGUGGUCUUCCUGUCUGGGUUGGCGCCCCCCCUUGGGUUGUGCCGUGGCGGAGAUCUUUGUGGGCUAUACUCGGCCUUGUCUCAGGAUGGUAAGUUGGUGGUUGGAGAUAUCACUCCAGUGGUGUGGGGGCUGUGCUUUGGCAAAGUGGGUGGGGUUAUAUCCUGCCUGUUUGGCCCUGUCCGUGGGUAUCAUCGGAUGGGGCCACAGUGUCUCCUGACCCCUCCUGUCUCAGCCUCCAGUAUUUAUGCUGCAGUAGUUUAUGUGUCGGGGGGCUAGGGUCAGUCUGUUACAUCUGGAGUAUUUCUCUUGUCUUAUCCGGUGUCCUAUGUGAAUUUAAAUAUACUAUCUCUAAUUCUCUCUUUCUCUCUUUAUUUUUCUCUCUCGGAGGACCUGAGCACUAGGACCAUGCCUCAGGACUACCUGGAAUGAUGACUCUUUGCUGUCCCCAGUCCACCUGGCCGUGCUGCUGCUCCAGUGUCCAACUGUUCUGCCUGUGGCUAUGGAACCCUGACCUGUUCACCGGACGUGCUACCUGUCCCAGACCUGCUGGAACCCUGACCUGUUCACCGGACGUGCUACCUGUCCCAGACCUGCUGUUUUCAACUCUCUAGAGACAGCAGGAGCAGUGAGAUACUCUCAAAGAUCGGCUAUGAAAAAGCCAACUGACACUUACUCUUGAGUUGCUGACUUGUUGCACCCUCGACAACUACUAUGAUUAUUAUUAUUUGACCAUGCUGGUCAUUUAUGAACAUUUGAACAUCUUGGCCAUGUUCUCUCAUAAUCUCCACCCCGGCACAGCCAGAAGAGGACUGGCCACCCCUCAUAGCCUGGUUCCUCUCUAGGUUUCUUCCUAUGGUUUGGCCUUUCUAGGGAGUUUUUCCUAGCCACCGUGCAUCUACACCUGCAUUGCUUGCUGUUUGGGGUUUUAGGCUGGGUUUCUGUACAGCACUUUGAGAAUAUCAGCUGAUGUAAGAAGGGCUAUAUAAAUACAUUUGAUUGAUUGAUUGCGCAUCCCCC